rnacentral:lncRNA from 10 species
UAAAGCGCGGCCCCUGUAAAGCGCGGCCUGAUUGGCCCUUUGAACCGGGCGUGGGAUUGGCCGUCGCCUGCCCACCCCGCGGCUGCAGCGUUCCCUGGGGCCUAGCCAACCGCGGGCAGGGCUGGGCAAGGCGGGAGGAGCGCGGACCCAAGAUCGGCUACGCUGCGUCUGCUCAGGCUGCGAGUUCCCGGCUCUGGGGACUCACCUUGCGGAGCUUACCCAGGCGGACUCUCCGCAGCCCCUGAUGGGUGUGUGUGUCAGACCGUUUACUAAACACCAGGACUGUUGUAGGCGACUCAGCCGUGUUGAACCAUGAAAGGACCUCAGGAAUGAAACCCACACACAGCAAAGCAACAAAGUGAAAGAAGCGUGGAUUCCUAAUGCAGGAGGCACUGAACCAAUCAAUACCCACUGCCCUCCAGACCUCCACAUGAAAGAAAAAAACUGCUGUCCUGUGAAGAAGACACUCCCCAGAUGCCAGCAACUUGAUAUUGGACUUCCUGCCUUUAGAAACAUUCCUUUAAGCCUCUCUGAAACUUGACCCUCUGGCAGGAACAGGUGCCAUUACAUACAGACACUCUCUCUCUUCCAAAUUCACCCUGUCAUAUCAAAGGGAAAACUGAAGUGGUCCACUGUAGACCUGACAGAUGAUCACAAACAGGAAACCAGCAAUCAGAAGUGCCUACUGAGCUCCCUACCCUGACCAUCACCUACAGCUACAUUUUACAGAUACAAAAUCAUUGUUUGUUCAACUUUCAUAUCAAAGGAUGCUAUUAGUUCAUUUCCAAAGGUGGGAAAAUGUUUCAACUUACUUUAUUACUUGUCUGCUACUUACUAUUUUCCCUCCGUUUGCCUGCCUGACUUCUUUUAACUCUUCACUCAACAAAUAUCUACUGACUACUGAGCACUUGCCAAGUGCUAGGCCAGAGCUGGAUGCUGUACUACGGGCAGAUGAAGUGCUAUGGGCAUCCAGAGGUGGAAGAAGAGGGUAUAGCGAAAGGGGAGAAAAGGCUGCAACAAUAUUCACUGAGCCCUGUGCUCCCAGGUCAUCACAUAGACUAUGUCAUUAUUCCUCCUAACCACCCACAUGAGUAAAUAGGGGCUAUUACUGAAGAAACAGAGGCUUACAAAGGUUGAGCAACUUGCCCAAGGUCAUCUAUCACAAGACACUACAAGUCAGACUGCUGAAGAGGGAGUUUCUGCUGAGAAGCUGAAGUGGGCAGCUCAUAUUGGAUAUGAAGGCUUCAAAGGAAUCUAAAUCCUAAUGAUCCCUCUAGAGCCAACAUGCAGCACCAGUUUUCUCUUCCACAUUUGAACUGCUCAUCCACUUCCGGCUCCAAGACCUCACUCUCCAUCUAAACUAGUCCCACGCCAUCCAUAUCUUUCUCCACUAACGCCACCCAAUCACAACCCCACAGCCUCUUAGUCAUGAGUCAUUUUUUAAAAACUGCAAACCAUGUAAUGAGCCAUGGCAAUAUGCAACCCUAAACCUCAACACGUGUUUUCCACAACAAGGCCACAGGUGGCAGAAGCGAGCCUAAGGCCGUAGGACACUAAGGCAGGACUCUCUGGCUUGAGCUUUCCAAAAAGGGAGGUGAGAGAAGGUCUACCUGCGGGAAGUCAUGCUGAAGGCCUGAGGCUGAGUCAAAGAAGGAGCCCCCUGGAGGCUCUGCAGUUCCUGGACUUCAGGUAGAGGAACUCUGCCAUGAACACCUCUGGAAUCGUGUCAUUUUGGGACAAUUAGAGAAUAUCAGUUUUCAGACUGAGUUCUAUGGGAAGGUGCCUGCACAACAAAGGAGAGACGGAAUGGACUUCAGGUCUUCCAAAAUACCCCUCAUGUUCACCAAGUUGCUCUCUGCUCUAAGAUACCAGAUGAGGGGGCCAGUGGGGACUGAAACCCAGUCCCCAGUCUGCUGGCCAAUCCCUUUGCCUGUGAGGCUGCUCUGUCCUACCAGAGAGGGCACUUUUCAUAAUUUGCACCAAGUACAGAAUAGGAUAGUGUAGCUUUACCCUUCUCCCUACCAUCAACCACAGACACAUCAACACAUGCACACAUACAGCCACACAAAUAUACCUACAGGCAUACACAUACAACACAGGCACAUACAUGUUUGCACAAAGUCACAUGUAGACACAAACGCAGAGCACACAGACACAAACACAGGCACAAACCCAUACUUACACUACACACACACACAAACACACACAGACACACAAAUGCAAAUUAAGCCACAAUGUAGCACAUAGAGAUAUAGACACAGACGCAAAUACAGUCACAUAGAGAUAUAGACACACACUUAUACACACAUAUAUGUAAAUAUACAGUCUCAUUCACUUUAUACCACACAUGUAUAAACAUACACAAUUGUAUGUAGACACACAUACACAUAGGUACUCAGACCGCAUAGAUACAUAUGUACACACAUACAAAUAUAUGCACAUACACAGAUAUAUAUAUACACACAUGCAUCUUUAACCAGAACAACUUUACUUUUGUCAGUUUUAUAUGACAGAGUCUUUAAAAAAAGAUUUCAUCUGGCUUGUGUUCUACUAUUAAAAGA